CGAAGGCAGACGCUCAACGACUGAGCCACCCAGGCUCCCAGAAAGACAAUUUUAUGAAACACAGGAAGAUACCGUGAAGACCCACCUGCGCCUAUCGAAUGAUCCGGGGGUGAGAGUGGAAUGGAGCCAAAUACCUUCAAAGAACAGAAAGGAGGCCCAGCAUCUCUGAAACAGUUGAGACAUCGUGAUCCUUUACCUCGAAAUGCUUUAGCGAGUAAUUCCUAAGAACAAAGACAUUAUCCUAAAGACAACGGUGAUGGAAUUUAGGAAAUUUAUCAUGGACAUGUACUGUUUUUUUUUAAGAUUUUAUUUUUAAGGAAUCUCUACACCCAAUGUAGGGCUUGAAUCUACAACCCUGAGAUCAAGAGUCACAGGCUCCACCAACGGAACCAACCAGGCUCCGAGACAUGUACUAUUUUUAAUACACAGUCUAUAUUCAAAAAUGUCCAAGUGUCACAAAAAUGUCUUUUUUAGCCCUGUUUUUUCCAAACCAGGAUCACACAUUGCAUUGAGUUGUCCUGUUUCUUUAGCCUCCUUUAAUCUGCACUUCUCACCAUGUCUUUGUGCUCCGUGACAUGAACAUCUUUGAAGCAGAACUGUUUUGAAGUUGAAAAACACUGAAUUUUGUGGAAUCAGGGCUUUAUUAUUGGAAUAAGAUCUUACACAAUUGCAGAUGAUGGUGGGGAAUGAAGGUCCAGAGAGGGGAGUCGGGGGGAGAAGUGGAAAAUCACCAACCAGCCCUCUCGAAGAGCUGGCGCAGGUGCACAAGUCAGAGCUUCCAGGAAAAUAUCUGGGAAGCUGGCAUAUCCAGCUGUCAGAGUGGGAUCGCGAAGGACAACCGGUGACGAAGUCUCCAGAAGGCUGUUGCCUCUGCAUCCGGUGGUGGGCCUGGGGGUCACUGUUGGUCAGCAGGGCAGAAAGUUGAGAUGAACAGAGUGUGAGGGAAAUAGGUCACAAGGUCCUGUGCUUUUGUCUGUCUGUCUGUCUCACGACAGCAGAGAGCAAGAGUGAGCUGGAACCCAGUGGCACAUCCAUAUUUGUCUCUUGCCACAUCUGAAUAGAACCACCAGUCAGAAGCAAUGACCACGCCUCACUUCUUCCAUUGAGUUUUCAUAUGGUUUUCUCUGUGGCCUGCUCUAACCUUGAACCGUGAGGGGAAAGGGGUUCUGAGGAACAUAGGUGCCGCUCAGCCCAGUUGACCCAGUUCAAAAUCACCAGAGAACGUGCCCUGUUUCCUCGAGUUCCUAGAAGAGCUUCUGUGAUAUUGGUUAUCGGUUAAGUGUCUGGAAGAUUUCACCAGUGAGACCAUCCGGGCCCCGAAUUUUGCGGGAAAGUUAAUUUGGUGUUAAAUUUCUUUGGUAGAUAUAGACUAUUCAGAUUCCCUAUUUUUCCUUGGGUCAGUUGUGGUUAAGCUUUAUUUUUCAAAGAAUUUAUCCACUUCAUCUAAAUUUUCAAAUGCAUUGACAUGAAGUGGUUCCUAAUAUCCUCUUAUUACAUUUUUCAUGCUUGUAGGAUCUUUAGUGAUGUCUUAUUUUAGUUCUUGAUAUUGGUCAUCUGUUUUCUCUUUUUUUCCCCCUUUAUUGCCCUUAAAUAGGGAUUUGUUGAGUAUAUUAACCUUUUAU